rnacentral:rRNA from 1 species
CUGCUUAACACAUGCAAGUCGAACGCAACCUUCGGGUUGAGUGGCGGACGGGUGAGUAACGCGUGAGAAUCUGCCUUGGGGUCGGGGACAACCACUGGAAACGGUGGCUAAUACCGGAUAAGCCUUUGGGUAAAAGGUUUAUUGCCCCAAGAGGAGCUCGCGUCUGAUUAGCUAGUUGGUGAGGUAAAAGCUCACCAAGGCAGCGAUCAGUAGCUGGUCUGAGAGGACGAUCAGCCACACUGGGACUGAGACACGGCCCAGACUCCUACGGGAGGCAGCAGUGGGGAAUUUUCCGCAAUGGGCGAAAGCCUGACGGAGCAAGACCGCGUGAGGGAGGAAGGCUCUUGGGUUGUAAACCUCUUUUCUCAGGGAAGAAGCUCUGACGGUACCUGAGGAAUCAGCCUCGGCUAACUCCGUGCCAGCAGCCGCGGUAAUACGGAGGAGGCAAGCGUUAUCCGGAAUUAUUGGGCGUAAAGCGUCCGCAGGUGGCGAUUCAAGUCUGCUGUCAAAGCACGGGGCUUAACUCCGUUAAGGCAGUGGAAACUGAAUAGCUAGAGUGCCGUAGGGGUAGAGGGAAUUCCCGGUGUAGCGGUGAAAUGCGUAGAGAUCGGGAAGAACAUCGGUGGCGAAAGCGCUCUACUGGACGGCAACUGACACUCAGGGACGAAAGCUAGGGGAGCGAAUGGGAUUAGAUACCCCAGUAGUCCUAGCUGUAAACGAUGGAUACUAGGUGUAGCUUGUAUCGACCCGAGCUGUGCCCGAAGCUAACGCGUUAAGUAUCCCGCCUGGGGAGUACGCACGCAAGUGUGAAACUCAAAGGAAUUGACGGGGGCCCGAACAACCGUUGGGUUAUGUGCUUUAAUCCGACGCAACGGCGAAGAACCUUACCAGGGCUUAACAUGUCCGGAAUCCCGUUGAAAGCUGGGAGGUCCCUUCGGGGAGCCGGAACACAGUUGGUGAAUGCCUGUCGUCAGCUCGUGUCGUAAGAUGUUGGGUUAAGUCCCGCAACGAGCGCAACCCUCGUCUUUAGUUGCCAGCAUUAAGUUGGGCACUCUAGAGAGACUGCCGGUGACAAACCGGAGGAAGGUGGG